AAGGAUCAUUAAUGAGUUCGGGGGCCUAGCCCCCAGCGGCGAGCGUCGUUCGAGUCCCCCGGGGCUCGGCCGGCGUUCGUCGUGUUUCUCAACCCCAUGUUUACCAUACCUUUUGUUGCUUUGGCGGGCCUUGAGUAGGCUACACGGCUCAUGCCGGUCCCAGGCUUCAUUGCCCGGGGGCGGCGCGCGCCCGCCAGAGGUUUAUUCAAACCCUAUUUAUCAGUGAUGUCUGAGCAAAUAUUAAAAUAAUCAAAACUUUCAACAACGGAUCUCUUGGUUCUGGCAUCGAUGAAGAACGCAGCGAAAUGCGAUAAGUAAUGUGAAUUGCAGAAUUCAGUGAAUCAUCGAAUCUUUGAACGCACAUUGCGCCCCUCGGUAUUCCGGGGGGCAUGCCUGUUCGAGCGUCAUUACACCCCUCAAGCAUAGCUUGGUAUUGGAUUUUCGCGGGCCUCUCUUAUAGGGAGAGGCUCGCGAGGUCCGAAAAGCAGUGGCGGUCCCCGAGGAUUUCGCGCGUAGUAAAAUAUUCUCCCGCGUUGGAAAGAAUCGUUGGGCUUGCCAAAACCCCCCAUAAUCUCCAUAAUUGACCUCGGAUCAGGUAGGGAUACCCGCUGAACUUAA
rnacentral:rRNA from 1 species